GAUGAACGCUGGCGGCGUGCCUAACACAUGCAAGUCGAACGGACUUACAUUGAAGCCUAGCGAUAUGUAAGUUAGUGGCGGCCGGGUGAGUAACGCGUGGGUAACCUGCCUUGUACUGGGGGACAACAGUUGGAAACGACUGCUAAUACCGCAUAAGCGCACAGCUUCGCAUGACGCAGUGUGAAAAACUCCGGUGGUACAAGAUGGCCCCGCGUCUGAUUAGCUGGUUGGUGAGGUAACGGACCACCAAGGCGACGAUCAGUAGCCGGCCUGAGAUGGUGAACGGCCACAUUGGGACUGAGACACGGCCCAAACUCCUACGGGAGGCAGCAGUGGGGAAUAUUGCACAAUGGGGGAAACCCUGAUGCAGCAACGCCGCGUGAGUUAAGAAGUAUUUCGGUAUGUAAAGCUCUAUCAGCAGGAAAGAAAAUGACUGUACCUGACUAAGAAGCCCCGGCUAACUACGUGCCAGCCGCCGCCGUAA
rnacentral:rRNA from 1 species